GCAUGAUAGCUGAGUGGGUAAAGUGCUUAUUGCUAUUCCCGAAAGCCGAUGGUUCGAUUCCAUCCUGGAGCA